AACACGGUGGAACCUACCUAUAAGACUGGGAUAACUCCGGGAAACCGGGGCUAAUACCGGAUAACACAUGAAACCGCAUGGUUUCAUGAUGAAAGACGGUUUUGCUGUCACUUAUAGAUGGACCCGCGGCGUAUUAGCUAGUUGGUAAGGUAACGGCUUACCAAGGCAACGAUACGUAGCCGACCUGAGAGGGUGAUCGGCCACACUGGAACUGAGACACGGUCCAGACUCCUACGGGAGGCAGCAGCC
rnacentral:rRNA from 1 species